rnacentral:rRNA from 1 species
UGGGGAAUUUUGGACAAUGGGCGCAAGCCUGAUCCAGCAAUGCCUCGUGCAGGAUGAAGGCCUUCGGGUUGUAAACUGCUUUUGUACGGAGCGAAAAGGUCUGCCCUAAUACGGUGGGCUCAUGACGGUACCGUAAGAAUAAGCACCGGCUACCUACGUGCCAGCAGCCGCGUUAAUACGUAGGGUGCGAGCGUUAAUCGGAAUUACUGGGCGUAAAGCGUGCGCAGGCGGUUAUAUAAGACAGAUGUGAAAUCCCCGGGCUCAACCUGGGAACUGCAUUUGUGACUGUAUAGCUAGAGAACGGCAGAGGGGGAUGGAAUUCCGAGGGUAGGAGUGGAAUGCGUGGAUAUGCGGAGGAAAACCGAGGGAGAAGGCAAUCCCCUGGGCCUGUACUGACGCGCAUGCACGAAAGCGUGGGGAGCAAACA